GGAGGCUUUAGCUUAAUUAAAGUGUCUGAGUUGCAUUCAGGAGAUGUAUGUGAAGAUAUACAGGUCUUC
rnacentral:tRNA from 1 species